rnacentral:rRNA from 1 species
ACGGAUCACGCCGCGUGAGUGAUGAAGGUUUUCGGAUCGUAAAACUCUGUUGUUAGGGAAGAACAAGGCAUAGUAACUGAUGGCACCUUGACGGUACCUAACCAGAAAGCCACGGCUAACUACGUGCCAGCAGCCGCGGUAAUACGUAGGUGGCAAGCGUUGUCCGGAAUUAUUGGGCGUAAAGCGCUCGCAGGCGGUUCUUUAAGUCUGAUGUGAAAUCUUACGGCUCAACCGUAAACGUGCAUUGGAAACUGGGGAACUUGAGUGCAGAAGAGGAGAGUGGAAUUCCACGUGUAGCGGUGAAAUGCGUAGAGAUGUGGAGGAACACCAGUGGCGAAGGCGACUCUCUGGUCUGUAACUGACGCUGAGGAGCGAAAGCGUGGGGAGCGAACAGGAUUAGAUACCCUGGUAGUCCACGCCGUAAACGAUGAGUGCUAGGUGUUAGGGGGUUUCCGCCCCUUAGUGCUGAAGUUAACGCAUUAAGCACUCCGCCUGGGGAGUACGG